UGCCACUGAUGACUCCACAUAUUUGCUACUCUUGACCAAAGAGUGAUGAGAACAAAACCACUUUAUCUGUCUGAGGCA